rnacentral:misc_RNA from 1 species
UUUGAGGGCUGUUUGUUGCUCUCCUUGUCUGAGUUUCUAUAGCAGAACUGGACUCUUCUCAAUCUAUAUUCUAUUGGAUAAUUUGAGAAGUCUAUUGUCACUAUGCAAGGAAUGAUAAAAGUUGCUAUAAUUUAGGUCAGAAGGCUAAAGAAUCACCUGGUUUCCAGAUUAUAGCAAUUUAUGUCUUUCCGUUUGCUUGUUUCCAUGAUGAACAUGUCUAGUUUUAAUCAAGCACCAUGACAUGCAUUUUGUGCAUUGAAAUACUGACCUUUGUUAUUGGUGAUUAAUUGGCUUUUGUAUACUACAGAGCCUAGAAAGUCAGUGUCUUUAAGAGACUAAUAAAUUCUUUCAUGCUUUGGUAGGAAACUGGCAUUUAACUGAUACUUCUCUCUCCAUGUUUCCUCUUCUUUCCCUCUCCAUUUAUGGAUUAGUGAGAUGCAAUUUAGAUACCAACUUUUUAAAAAAAUUCUUUGCCUCAAUGUAGCAAAGCAUAUUUUUGCUUUCUCAGAAACUUUUAAUGCAAUAUCAUGUUUGGUGCGCAUCACUUUGGCAGCUAUGUUGGUCAAAUGAUUGACUUAGAUAUUAGGUCUAUCUUAUGGGCAUCAAAAUUGAGAGAUUGCAUGUGAAUGUGGCAAUGAAAACUGUAUGCAUUUAAUUCAAAUUAGUGAAUUGUUACAUGCUAUACUAUGUUAUUUGCAUUCAAUUGAUGUUAAUUGGACUUGGAUAUAAGUGUCUUAUCUGGAUACAUGUCCAGACCUCAAACUUGCCUAUUUACCUAAAUUUCAGUCUUCCACUCUAUUUUAAGCAUGAAAAUGCUGUACGCAUCCAUGUCCAAUAUGGGUACUUCAGGGAAAAAGAGUGGAAGUAACUUUGGUUGAAUCUUAUAAAAAUUCAGACAUGCAACUUGCAUGCCUACAUUUUUGGGCAUAUUAUUUGUUUCCUUUGUUACUUAGAGGAUGUUUGAUUGGUUUAUAAGUUUGGCAAACCUAAUUAUAAGUAGAAAUUCAUAAAUAGAUUAACCAAUUCAAUUACUUUUAACCAUCUUUUAACUAAAUAUUUAAACUACUUAAAAGUUAUUUUUAAGUGAUUUUACCAUCUUAUUUUUAAUUUGACUUAUAAGUUAAAAAAAAAUUUAAGUCAAAAAUUAAAAGUAAGUAACCAAACAAAACACCCUCUUAAUCCCCUUGUACUUUAUGUGUUCAAAAUUUUUUCUUUUUAUUUUUUAUAUUUCCCAUCCAACACUUUCUUUUAAUAAUGUCAAUUAGUUAUUUUCAAUAUACAGAUUCAUGAUUUGUCAAAUGCUUUCUUUAAAGUUAACAAGGUGGAAAUUCUUAUUGGUGAUACAAAUUCAUAAUUAACAAAAUUGCCAUUUCUUUUUUUAUUUUUUUGGUGUAUCAUACAGGUGUCAGGUGAAGGAGAUUCAAAAAAUCAGGUAAUCAUGGUUGAUCCUUUGGAAGCUAAGCGAUUAGCUGCCAUUCAGAUGCGAGAGAUAAAAGCUAAAGAGAAACUCAAGAGACGACAUCAAAUUGAGGCAAUUAAUGGUGCAUGGGCAAUGAUUGGUCUCACGGCAGGCUUGGUAAUUGAAGGUGGCACUGGGAAAAGUAUACUGGAUCAGGUACAGUUAAUCAUUCCUUUAGCAUUUACUUAAUAGGGCAUGCUUACAUGAGAUUCUAACGCACAAACACACAAACACUUUUGUUAAAUGUUUAGGGAAAAUUACUAUUUAAUCCAUGCAUUUUAAUGAAACUAAUUACUUAGUCCUUCUAUUUUAAAAAAUGCACUAUUUACUCUCUCUAUUUUUUAGUUCGUGAAAUGUUUAGUCCCUUGCGUUAUUUUAAAGCAAUUUUUUUUCAACUCAACUAUUCAAUCUCUGUAAUUUGAAUAAUACAACUAUUUAAUCCCUGUAAUUUUAAAUCCAUCAACUAUUUAGUCUUUGUCUAGGACUAUUCUCUCAACUUUGACUAACUUGACUAACAAAAGAGUUGAUGGGAGGGACCAAGCAGUUCAUAGACUAAAUAUAGGGGAACUAAGUACUGUAUUUUUCAAAGUAGGACUAAAUAGUUAGCUUCAUUAAAUGCAAGGACUAACUAGUAAUGUUUCCAAAUCUUUAUUUACACGUGACUAAUUGAUUUUUCUCUCAGUUGGCUGGAUAUUGGUCUGCCAUUUUCCAUUUCUUUUUUGGAUAGACCGAGUAACUAUGGAGGAAAAAUUGUGGAGUAGCAGAUUCUUUCAUUGAAAUAUUCUUUCAAAAUUAACCUUGUAAUAAUGCUUUUGGCUAAUUUCUUUGUAACCCAUCUACUCAGCAUUUUAAAUUGACCUGUUCAUAAUGUUAUAUGACCACCUAUAUCUUCAGCUUGUUCAUUGAGAUCUUUACAUUGUUUGCGAGCAUUUUCUUAUAGAAACUGGCAGGUGUAAAGCAUCUUUGUAUUUCUUUCUGGGCAUUGGAGAAAAGAUUCUCUUUAUUCUUUCUAUGAUUGGUUUUGGAAUGAAUUCAUUUUAUAUAGUAACAUUUGAAAGAUGUCUUAUUUCAUAGUUGCUCAUAUAAUAUUAGGCCUUCU